GACGAACCGAGCGAACGUUGUUCGGAAUCACUGGGCUUAAAGGGCGCGUAGGCGGGUGCUCAAGUCUGUGGUGAAAUCCUCCGGCUCAACCGGAGAACGGCCAUGGAUACUGGGUGUCUCGAGGGUGAUAGGGGUAUGCGGAACUAUCGGUGGAGCGGUGAAAUGCGUUGAUAUCGAUAGGAACUCCGGUGGCGAAGGCGGCAUACUGGAUCACUUCUGACGCUGAGGCGCGAAAGCCAGGGGAGCGAACGGG
rnacentral:rRNA from 1 species